CCAUUUACAAAAGGAUAAGAUUUUGGUUUUUGUGUAAAUUAGUUCUUCAAAAUAACGGAUCCAUACCGAUCCUCCACAAGGAGGAUCGGUAUGGAUCCGUUAUUGAGUCGGUUUYUUUAGUAGUUUUUUUUUUUCAUCUUUUUUUAGUAUUUUUAUGCUUUUCUUUUUUUUCUUUGAUCUAGAUAGAUUCUAAUUUUAUAGUUAAUAUAGUUAAUUUAAUAAUAAUAAAAAAGAGAAGAAUGUAGUUUUUUCCCUUUCGACCUUCAUUUGGACCUUAAUAAGUAAGAUAGGAUAAAAAAAAUAAUGAUCAAUGGUUCAAUUUUAGA
rnacentral:misc_RNA from 1 species